CAGUCCGCGGGAAUACAGAGGGUGCAAGCGUUAAUCGGAAUUACUGGGCGUAAAGCGCGCGUAGGUGGUUCGACAAGUCUGAUGUGAAAUCUAUGGGCUCAACCCAUAGCCUGCAUUAGAAACUGUCGGGCUUGAGUAUGGGAGAGGUGAGUGGAAUUUCCGGUGUAGCGGUGAAAUGCGUAGAUAUCGGAAGGAACACCUGUGGCGAAAGCGGCUCACUGGACCAUAACUGACGCUGAGGCGCGAAAGCUAGGGGAGCAAACAGGAUUAGAUACCCCAGUAGUCCCUGUCUCUUAUACAC
rnacentral:rRNA from 1 species